rnacentral:misc_RNA from 1 species
UGAAAAGCAGGUUUGCUAGAUCUUUAUUAAGUAUAAGGCUUUGUUUAGAUGUACUUUAUACUGUAUAUACUCCUAAGAUUUGUACUCAACAGUUGUGACAAUGGGCCUUGAGUGAAAGCCUUUUUGUUUGUUGGGCCUUUACUAUAUAGCAAUAAGUGAAAAAGGUAAUUUUAAAUUAAAGACAGGAUCACAUGAAAAUUUUGUUGCUA